CCCCGUACACAAAAAUGCACAUACUGUGAGCUCGAUGAGUAGGGCGGGACACGUGGUAUCCUGUCUGAAUAUGGGGGGACCAUCCUCCAAGGCUAAAUACUCCUGACUGACCGAUAGUGAACCAGUACCGUGAGGGAAAGGCGAAAAGAACCCCGGCGAGGGGAGUGAAAAAGAACCUGAAACCGUGUACGUACAAGCAGUGGGAGCCUCUUUUAUGGGGUGACUGCGUACCUUUUGUAUAAUGGGUCAGCGACUUAUAUUCUGUAGCAAGGUUAACCGAAUAGGGGAGCCGAAGGGAAACCGAGUCUUAACUGGGCGUUAAGUUGCAGGGUAUAGACCCGAAACCCGGUGAUCUAGCCAUGGGCAGGUUGAAGGUUGGGUAACACUAACUGGAGGACCGAACCGACUAAUGUUGAAAAAUUAGCGGAUGACUUGUGGCUGGGGGUGAAAGGCCAAUCAAACCGGGAGAUAGCUGGUUCUCCCCGAAAGCU
rnacentral:rRNA from 1 species